AAUUAGUGAGCUUUGAUGUUUUUUUUAGAAACAACAAAAUUAUAUUAAAAUGAACCCCAACUAGUAAGAAACUAGAGGGGUAGGAACAGAAAAAGAAAAAAGACAUACAGAUAGUAGUGGUAAGUAAAGAAAAAUACAUAGUAAAAACUAGGAAAAGUGAAAGGAGAUGAUGACCACACGUUCCAUUCACAUAAACCGCUUUCUCUCUGCAUUUGAUCCAGAGAUACACCAAUGAUUUUAUCUGCUCAGCUCCGCAAAAGGUACUGACAAAUUUCAGAUUAAAAGUCCGGUCAUUUCUAUAUUUCCAGAGGCUCCAUAUAAGCCCGUAGCACAUCAUCGUGAGCCUUUUUUUUUUCUUUUUUGAAUAUCGACCCCAGCUUGUAGCAAAACAUAUUAGAUCCCUGACAUUGUGAAAUGUUUGGUGCUUGAUGCCACACUAGUCAAAUAAUUUGUCUCUUAUUGCACUCACAUACGGGCAUGUUACAAGGAUGUGAUCGGCACAUUCGUCACUAGCAAAGCAAGCACCACGACACGUCGAGUCGAGCUCCACACCUCGUGAUCUUAGAGCCAUCAUAGAAGGGAUUUUAUUUUGUAAUGCUCUCCAAAUAAAGAAGUUCACCUUGAUCGAUGCAUCCUUAUGCCAUAGCAUAGGUGGUAGUAUCUGACUUGGAACAGAUUUUUUAUCGAUUAACCUCCGUAGUGCCCUAACUGUAUAGUGACCAUCUACAUCAAGCCUACUUUUCCAUUGAUCACACCCGCUCGCCAAGUUUACCGUGAUCAGUUCAUUCAUUAGGUUGUCCAAAUCCUCAGAUAGUCCAGAUUCAACUGGGCAAGAAUUCCAAUGACCUACAAAACAACCGUCAAUAAUUCUGUCUGCUACUUUACAUCUUUUCCUUGUCUCCAGGCUGAACAGGUCAGGGUAUUUGUUCUUCAAUUGGUCUCCAUCAGUCCAUUUGUCAUACCAGAACUGGGUGUUGUCACCAGAUCUGAGCUGUAGUUCGAACACAUCCGCUAUUUCCAGGUUACGCCUCUUGAGAUCCUUCUUUAUGGUUGCAAUGUUAUGCCACACGCCAUUGAUAUACCUGCUAGAAAAAUAAUCGUGAGGUUUAUUGAAUAAGUUGUGUAUACCUUUUAUCGUGCGCCCCCAUAAUGAGUCUCCCUCAUUUUUCAGACGCCACCACCAUUUGACUAUUAGGCUGACAUUCAGCGCAUGUAUUGAUCCAACGCCAAGCCCACCAUCAGAUUUUGAAGCUAUUACUUUAUCCCAUGCCACCCAGUGUAUUUUCGGUUUAUCUUCAUCUCCGCCCCAAAGGAAUCUACGUCUAAGUUGUUCCAGAGUCUCGGUGAUCGCCACCGGUGCUGUGAACAAUGAGAAGUAGUAAGUGGGAAGAUUGCCUAGAAGUGAGGUGAUCAUUGUUAGUCGACCACCGAAGGAGAGGGAUUUCGAUUUUCAUGAUGAUAGUUUGGAAUGAAAUUUGUUGAUUAUUGGUUUCCAGUUUUUUAUAAGAUUCAUGUUCGCGCCAACAGGGACACCGAGAUAUUUGAAGGGAAAUGAUCCUGCUUCACAUCCUAAAAUACUGGCCCAAUUUGUAAUUUCUUCCUCAGUCGCCCCAAUUCCAAAUACUCUGGAUUUGUGAAAGCUUACUUUUAAGCCAGAUGAGACGUGAAAGCAUCUAAGAAUCCGUGCUAGAUUUUUUAGAUUGGAUCUUGACCAUUCACCUACAAAUAAAGCAUCAUCUACAUAGAACAAAUGUGAAAGAAUAGGGUCACCGUUUGGAAUUUGAACUCCUUUGAAUAAUCCUUUGUCUUUGGCAGCCUCUAUUGCUGCGUUGAGAGCUUCCAUGGCUAUGAUGAGAAGGAAUGGUGAAAGUGGGUCACCUUGACGCACGCCUUUGGAAAUUUUGAAUUCAUUCGUUGGAGACCCGUUUACAUUGACAGAGGCGUGAGAGGAGUUCAGACAACCCCUAAUCCAAAGACACCAUUUAGAGCCAAAGCCCAUUCGUGUGAGUAUGGAAUCUAGAUAUUCCCAAUUUAUUGAAUCAAAUGCUUUAUCAAAAUCUACUUUGAAUAGUAGGAUCCUCUUUUUUAUUUUCUUUGCCCACGAGUAGAGUUCGUUUAUCACUAAUGGUCCAUCUAGAAUGCUCUUGUCCUCUAUGUAAGCUGAUUGGACAUCUCAAAUGACUCCACCUAUAACUUUUUUGAGCCUUAAUGCAAGCACCUUUGAGAUGAUCUUGUACAUGCAUCCAAUUAGGCUGAUAGGUCGAUAAUCGGACAGUGAAUAGGGGUCUUUUACCUUAGGCACAAGACUGAUGAAAGAUGAGUUGCAUCCUCGUGCUAUGGUACCAAAUUUGUCGAAGUGAAGGAUAAAGUUCAUCACAUCAGUUUUGACUGUAGCCCAGUAGGUUUUGAUGAAUUUAAAAGUAAAUCCAUCUGGGCUAGGCGCCUUAUCACUGCCACAUUCCCACACUGCAAUUUUUACUUCUUCAAGUGUGAGGGGGGCUUCAAGUUUUAUAGCUUCCAUCAUCGAAAUGGAUUUGAUGUAAAGGCUGAUGAGUUUUGGUCUAGAAACCAAUGUUUCAGUGAAUUUGUUCUUAAAAAAUCUAAGUGCUUCACCUUUUACUUCAUCAACCGAUGACACCUAUUUACCAUUCACCAAUAACC
rnacentral:lncRNA from 1 species